rnacentral:rRNA from 1 species
GACGAACGCUAGCGGCGUGCCUAAGGUAUGCAAGUCGAACGGUCCCGGCUUUCGGGUCGGGAUAGUGGCGAACGGUCGAGUAACACGUAGACAACCUGCCUCCCAGCGGGGGAUACCCGCGGGAAACCGCGGUUAAUACCGCAUGCGCUCCGGAAGGGGAUGCCCUUUUGGAUGAAAGGUCCCGCAGCAAUUCGGGAGCACUGGGAGAUGGGUCUGCGGCCUAUCAGCUAGUUGGCGGGGUAAC